AGCGAACGCUGGCGGCGUGCCUAACACAUGCAAGUCGCACGAGAAAGGGGUGGCAACACCCCGAGUACAGUGGCGAACGGGUGAGUAACACGUGGGUAACCUACCCCCGGGUCCGGAAUAACCUGCCGAAAGGCGGGCUAAUACCGAAUAACGAUAUGGGGUCUUCGGACUCCGGAUCCAAAGCUGACCUCUUCACGAAAGUUGGCGCCUGGGGAGGGGCCCGCGGCCCAUUAGCUAGUUGGUGAGGUGACGGCUCACCAAGGCAACGAUGGGUAGCCGGCCUGAGAGGGCGACCGGCCACAGUGGAACUGAGACACGGUCCACACUCCUACGGGAGGCAGCAGUGAGGAAUCUUGCGCAAUGGGCGAAAGCCUGACGCAGCGACGCCGCGUGGACGAUGAAGGCCUUCGGGUCGUAAAGUCCUGUCGGGUGGGAAGAACGGGAACGGAGCUAACAUCUCCGGGCCUUGACUGUACCACCAGAGGAAGCCCCGGCUAACUCCGUGCCAGCAGCCGCGGUAAUACGGAGGGGCCG
rnacentral:rRNA from 1 species